GUGCUUGCUUCAGCAGCACAUAUACUAACAUUGGAACGAUAUAGAGAAGAUUAGCAUGACCCCUGCGCAAGGAUGACAUGCAAAUUUGUGAAGCAAAUACAUUUUUA
rnacentral:snRNA from 1 species